GACCAAGUCACCACCCACGCACGGUCUUUGACCUCUCGUCCCACACAGCCAAAACGGAAAAUUUCCCCUGAUUGAUUCCCCUCGCCGUCGAUGCGCUGCCUCUCUCCGGCCGCCCCUCUCCGGCCGCCUCUCUCCGCCCGCGCUCUCCGCUGUAUCUUCCGUCUGGCGCGCCGCGUCGCCGAUGCCUCCUGCUCCGUUUUCCAAGAUUACUGGCCCAUCCCCAUCCGCGCCGCCUCGAUCUGCCAUGGUCUGCUGGAAACUACCGGUCAGCUCAGCUAUGGCAACUGCCGAUGCCGAUCGUGGAACAUGCCGAUCGUGCUGCUUGUGUUUGUUACUUCCUCCACCAAUACAAAAGUCGGCGUCAGGAGCUCGCCGCGCCCGGGCUUCACGGCGGUGACGACGCUGGCGUGUACGUCUUCCUGUAUAACACGCCCGACGCAUACAAGUCCAACUUCACGCUGGUCGCCAAAUCGAAGCUAUCGAGCCUGGAAAGCCGGAAACGAGAGCCAACACCAACUGCGUCCAGAAGGUUGCGAAGGAGGUGGAUGAGUUCUUGCUGGAGUGUAAUCUGAGUAAUUCACCCCUCUUUAUUUGGUGAUUCUUUGUUAGUUUUUUACCUGAAACUUUAUAUCUCAGUGGUUGUAUGUAAUUUUUUUUUGGAAAACCUAUAUUUAGGAACCAUGAGGUUUGGAUGAACCAUUCAGCGUUCUGGCCAGAGCUUGUGGAUCCCUAAAAUUUGCUGCUAUUUAGCCUUCAUCAAUUUCUUGUGAUUUUCUGUGUUGUACAGAACUCGGAGCUACCGGCCUUGGAGAAAUUCGGUGCGGUGAGCCAAGACCACUUGCAUCUCCGUCAACCUGUCCAGUGGCAAAGUCACUGCAAACCUCAUCUCAAAGGUGAUCUUUCAACCUGGAUCAUCACCUGGAAAAUAAAAAGAACCAAGCUUAUUAGUAGAGAAUAGAGUUGCAGAGUGUGUAGUCAGAAGCACCCUAGCAAAAUUUAGUUUACAGAGUAACUUAAUCAUAGCGGCCACAAUAUACACAUGGAAUUUAAGCAUGAUGUCAUCAGUAUUGCUAUACUAGAGCUUGCAGGCGCAACUUUUAUCAACAAAUAAACGAAGAACUUGUCGGUAUGUCAAGUAAAAUGGAGUUGAGAAUUCUAAAUAGUGCUUUCCUAUUUAGGAAAAACUUAUUCUUUGUCGAGCAUAUGUCCGUAAGUAUGCCACAAAUAAAUUAGUGAAAAUUGAUGGAUUGUUUUUAGUGGAUACAGUGAUGGAAACAUGCAACAUUAAUUGUCCAAGAAAAAAGCUCUAGAUUUGUUACAUGUUUCCACAUUAACUUUUGUGUUACAUUAAUUGUCCAAGAAACGCCCGCUCCCAAUCUUCAGUCCAAGAUCCCAUCGUCGUCCGCCGCCUCCGUUCCCUCCCAAGCCUCUCGUUGCGCCCGACCGACUCAGACGGUCAGACCCCAGCUUCAUCGCGCAGCACCACCGGCAACACACGACGCCACGGCGAUGCCUCCUUAUUCCCCGCCUCGACUCCAACCGCCGGUCUGCCCCGUGCGGGUCAAUCCAUGGCAACCGCCGGUCAGCUCCUUGCGCGGCAACUGCCGAUCGUGGAGGUCAUGGAGAUUACCACCUCCAGCACAAAAUGCUCAAAGCUCCCUCCCCGCCCUUGUUCUCCCCUCGUCUCCCAGUCAGCUCUCUCAAAUCGGGCGACUGGACCAGCUGCUGCCGCCGCCGGGAACCUCCGACCACAGAAUAGGUCGGACGCCGCCGGCAGUGGCCACGCUGCUGCGCCGACCAUCUUGCUCGUAGCCCACCAGAAGACAGGAGGGCGUGCACAGGACGUCUUCCUCCUCCUUACGCCGCAUCUUUGGACGAAGAAGAGUUGGUGGAGGGCGGUGGCUCCAGGGGCAGUGACCAUCGCGAGGAGGCGACUGCAGGGUACACGAAGGAGUUCUACUUCCACAACCUGCUACUCGAAUCCUAUUCCAUCUACUGGUUCAGGAGGAGAUCUUUGAACCUGGACAGUAUUUCUGGAUCCUCUCCUAGAAAAUAAAAGGGGCCAAGCAUCUUCUGUAUCUAUUUUGGAUCCUCUUUCGGUGUUUCCAUCUCUAGAGAGUAAAAUGGUUCGAUCUCACAACUUGCAAUUGAAGUUACAAAGAAUUGCAAUCUACCUAAGCGACGCACUCGCAUUAGCACAACCUGGUUGGGAUGCCGAUAUAUUUUCCUGGCCACGUACAUCACCAGUUGGUAUUCCAGAAAAUUCAGACAGUAACGCGUCUGGUUAUUUCGUGUUUUUCAUUAUGCUCUCAUGGAAUGGUAAAGAAUUGGUUCAUCCAAUAUGCACGGAUGGUUACGAGUUGCGGAAGAACUUUUUGGUACACAUUCUCAAGUGUCAUGAAAAUGAAGCAGAAGAAAAUAUCCCUGCCAUUGUACAUCAAUAUUUGAGAAGCAUCGAGGAGUAGAUAUUAGUUGAUCAAAAAAAUUAGUUCAGUGCUUAUUAUCUUAUUCAAAUGCUAUCAGUUACGUCUGUUCAUGA